rnacentral:rRNA from 1 species
CCUACGGGAGGCUGCAGUGGGGAAUAUUGCUCAAUGGGCGAAAGCCUGACGCAGCGACGCCGCGUGAGGGAUGAAGGUCUUCGGAUCGUAAACCUCUGUCAGCAGGGAAGAACGGUCACUGUGCUAAUCAGCAGUGAAUUGACGGUACCUGCAAAGGAAGCACCGGCUAACUCCGUGCCAGCAGCCGCGGUAAUACGGAGGGUGCGAGCGUUAAUCGGAAUUACUGGGCGUAAAGCGCUCGUAGGCGGUAUGUCAAGUCAAGGGUGAAAUCCCCGAGCUCAACGUGGGAACUGCCUUUGAAACUGGCAAACUGGAGUGUGUGAGAGGAUAGUGGAAUUCCAGGUGUAGGAGUGAAAUGCGUAGAUAUCUGGAGGAACAUCAGUGGCGAAGGCGACUAUCUGGCACAUAACUGACGCUGAGGAGCGAAAGCGUGGGUAGCAAACAGGAUUAGAUACCCGGGUAGUC